UUAUGACAAUUUUUCUGGCAGUAUUGCAGUGUCAACUCUGGGAACAGUGUUGUCUUAUGUAAGAAAAAAGAGGGCAAUACACCUUUUUCUUUGGUGUUGGUACAUAUGGAUGAAAGAAUAAAUGAGUGCAGAGCUGGUAAUGUGGAUGUGGUUUUCAAGGAUGUCUCUGUAACAAACUGAGAAGGUGUGAGGGACCUUCAGAUCUUCUAAGCUGUGUGUGUCCAUCACAGUUGUGUAGUGCCCCAUAGAACCAAGGCACAACCCUUGUCUUUUGCUUCCCACAUGGGUACAUUCCCCCCCACCUUGUGACCUGAAGACUUGGAGGUCAUUACUGUGUCCAAAUGUUGAACAUCCCCUCUUUUUUUCCCCCAUGUUCAUGGUCUGUAGCACAGUCUGGCGAGACACUGUUUGUAUUUUAUAGUAUCCAACAAUGAAAACUUCUUCAAUGACAACCACUUCGAGCUCCCCUGAGCUCUGUGGAGAUUGCUUGUUUCUUAAUUUAUAUUCCUAUCUUUAAGAGCCAAGGAGACCUUGAAAGACAUUUCAAACCACUAUAAAUUAUAAAUACUGUAUCUGUUUCUUCCUUUUGUGUCAUCUGUAUACAAUUCCCCAAGAACCUUAUACAAACAUGAAACAAAAGAGGCUGAACCAUUAAUAUGUCAGAGGGAAUAGAAGAACCCCGGGAUGUGUACUGCAAGCAGAAGGAAGCAAAACAAUUUAAAUUAAGCCUGGGUGGUUUUCUUUCCUUCUUUUUUUCUGGUCUCCUUAAAGACAAGUCCUUGUUCUCUGCAAACAAAAUGCCUUGAUGCAUUGCCAGAGUAAGCUGAAUUCCAGGUCCGGAUGCUUUGAUGAGAGAUGCUGUCCGUGGAUUGCAUUGCCUUGGUGGCAGUUCCUGGUUGGUUCUGUCUCAUCGGUACUGGGGUAAGUGGGGAGAAACAGACUUGUUGCUAAUGCCUAUCUUCAUCUUAAAAGCAAGUUAAACGCGUUGGGUGCUGCAUCAGCUGGCAAUGGUGGCUAAGGUUGCUGAGGUCUGAGGACAUUUCUCUUUGAUGGAAAAGGUGCUCUCCUUGCCUGACGUAAGUGGGUUUCUGCUGCUUUAUCCCACCUGAGAAGUCACCCCCAUGCAGCUUCAUCCCUGACUCCCAAGCAGCCUCAAGGAUCACAUGUAUUUUUUCAUCACCUGCCUGAAUUGUACUGGCUUUAUCUGCAUGUGUAAGAGGCAAGAAUAACAGGAAAGCCUGUUCUGUAGAUGCAUUAGAGAAGUCAUUUCUCCUUUUGUGGAUGUAAAUAGUUUCUGUUAUCUCUUAAAAGCAGGUGAAGGGAACUUUGCAUGCAACUGAGAUGGGGAAGUGUAUCCACAGCAGAUUCCAGGAAAACUCUCCUAACUGAACUUGCAGCGCAGAUGGGAGGAAUUUUGGUGGACAUCAUCUUGAGACCUCUCAGUGCUGUUGACGCCCAGGAAAAACAUGAUUGGAUUCAGCCCUGAACAAAAUGCAUUCUGUCUGAGGAACCCAGGAGAGCAGGGCGCUCCGUCGUGUCACUUCACUGGCUGUCAGAUUUGUUGGAGGAUCCAAAACUGCAGGAGUGGACAGGGACCCAGGGAAGUGCAUUUUCUCACGUACAACCACCUCAGCCCUGCUUCCCAACCUGGUACACUGGGAUUCAACCUCGCAACACUGAGCUACAGUGCAAAGUCCAUCCUCACCCUGAGUUUCAAGACCUCAUCACCCAUCCCCAGUCUUGAACAGAGCUCUGCAAACCCUCUGGAAGUCCUCCUCUACCUGCAUGCCACCUUAAGGGUAACAGCUGGGAAAUUCAUGUGCUAUGGGACCUGUCAAGCUGCUUGUGAGCAAAACGGGUUGUCGUGUUCUUCUGGACUAUGGCCUUGGGCAAAAAAAACACCUGGUCAAGCAUCUGCUCAGGAAACCACAUCCAGUAGAAAUCACUGAAAGAAAGGGAUGAGGGGGAUGGAUGGAUGGACAGAUGUUGAAAGAGUGAAAAUAAUGGUUGAUGCUUGUUGAUUAAAAUUCUGAUCUUGUGUUUGGAGAACCACCUUGGAUGUCUACCCUAACUCUUCCCUUAUGCUGGUAUUUGGGAUUGGUUUUUGUGUCCUUUUGGCAUGUGGCUACCUCAACGCCCACGCUAUGUAACAGGAGCUUUGGCUCAGCCUUGCUGGCUGCUUUUCCUGGGGUGGGUGCAUGGCUGGGGGUGAGGAGUGAGGGAGGUGACUGUACAUACGAGUAGUGAAGUUGGUGCUGAUGGUCUGGCUGGUGAGAGGCCCAUUGGUGGCGUACAAAGAGACUGUGUAGGUGGUACUGGGCAGCAGGUUGCUCAGCUGGUACUCCUGGUUGGCUCCAUCCACGAGAAUUGUUUCUCCUGCAACUGUAAGCAAAAAGGGAAGAGUUAGGGUAGACAUCCAAGGUGGCUCUCCAAAAUGUGUCUCUGGAUAUGACCUCAUGAAUAAAAGCAUUUCUACUGCUGAAACACCAUAAGGUA